GACGAACGCUGGCGGCGUGCUUAACACAUGCAAGUCGAACGGAAAGGCCCUGCUUGCAGGGUACUCGAGUGGCGAACGGGCGAGUAACACGCGGGUGAUCUGCCUUGCUCUUCGGGUUAAGCCUGGUAGACUGGGUCUAAUUCCGGACAGGAGACAUUUUUAGCGUGAUGGUUGGAAAGUUUUUUCGGUGCAGGCUGAGCUCGCGACCUAUCAGCUUGUUGGUGGGGUAAUGGACUACCAAGGCGGCGGCGGGUAGCCGGCCUGCGUGGGUGGACGGCCACAUUGGGACUGAGAGACGGCCCAGACUCCUACGGGAGGCAGCAGUGGGAAAGAUUGCAGAAUGGGCGCAAGCCUGAUGCAGCGACGCCGCGUGGGGGAUGACGGCCUUCGGGUUGAAAACUCCUUUCGCUAGGGACGAAGCUUUUUGUGACGGUACCUAGUUAGGAAGCCCCGGCUAACUACGUG
rnacentral:rRNA from 1 species